CGAACUCAUCUCUCUCUCUCUCUCCCUCUCGUUUUAUUCUUCUUCUUAUUUCACAGAUCUCUCUUGUUCUAUUUUUUUAUAAAUCUUACAAACCGGAAGAGUAAAAGCUCCUCAUCAAGGAACAAAAUCAUUUGAUCUUAACUCCCCAUCCAUGAACUGAUAAGAUCAAAGAAAAUCCCUAGAACCACCAGUAAACCAAAUCGUUCUACUCAUGUAGCAGAUAUGUAUUCAAGGUCUUCUUCUUCUUUGAAGUGUUUUGUAGUGAGCAACAUAUUUCAAUGGGUCGGGUAGUGAUGAGAAUAGAGUUGAUAUUAUUAAUUCUAAGUUGGGUCAUUCUCAGGUACCAUGAAAAGAAACUGAAAGUGUUUUUUUUUCUUUUGAGGAGCCGUGGUUGGAUCAAUUUCAUGAUCUGUUCUAUUUGAUUCAUAUUUAUGGGUUGAUGUUCUUGCUAGCCUUGUAUGUUGAAGACUAGUUAGAGAAAGAGUUGUCCCAGCCAUACUUUAUCACUCUUACAUGGUGCAGAUGAAACAGGACAUGCUGUUGCACCAUAGGUGUUACUAAGUUGUUUAUCUUUGAAACCUAUUCCGGUGGUGAAAUUGUUUGAUGGAAGAGGAGAUGUUGAAGAUCAGAAUUCUGAUGAUUAUCCACUGGUUUUUAUUUAGAUCCCUAGCUAUUCAAUUUUCCUUUGGUGUGUUAUUUAGUUGCCUCAUUAUGGUUUUGCUGGUUAGUUGCACUUGUCUUUAAGCUUGCAACUAAUUAGAUAGACUUGUAUUGGUCUGAACUCAGGAUUUAAAUCCUUUUAUGUGUAAAUUGACCCAAUCAAUUAAUGAAUCGUAAAUGGAACGAUCAUUUGAACGUAUGAUUUGAUUGAAUUUGGUUUGAAUUAUUUGAUUUGAGUUUGAUUUGUUCUUCA